AGUAACGCGUGAGGAACCUGCCUUCCAGAGGGGGACAACAGUUGGAAACGACUGCUAAUACCGCAUGAUACAUUUGAAUCGCAUGGUUUGAAUGUCAAAGAUUUAUCGCUGGAAGAUGGCCUCGCGUCUGAUUAGCUAGUUGGUGAGGUAACGGCCCACCAAGUCGACGAUCAGUAGCCGGACUGAGAGGUUGGCCGGCCACAUUGGGACUGAGACACGGCCCAGACUCCUACGGGAGGCAGCAG
rnacentral:rRNA from 1 species